rnacentral:lncRNA from 1 species
UCUUCAAGGGCUCAAAGUGUCCAAGAAGCCUCACCUAGGGCCGACUAGUAUAGAAUUCUUAAUUAGCAAUUGUUAAUUGUUUGUAAUUGCCUUUUCUUUUGCUUAAUUAGUAACGCUUUGUAUGUGUGGUUGUUUUAAGCUUUGUUAAAACCGUCUAGCUUUGUUAAUUAGUUAGCAUACAUUGUUUUUCUUGCAUUGAAAAAAAAAAGUUUUGAUUUCUCAACUUAAUCGUGUUUCAAGUGGUUUACUAAGAGAAAGCUUUGUGUGAAGACAUUGAGGGAUAGUUUUUGGCUAAGGCAAAGGCUUGGUAUUUAAGUAGUCCACUGUGACUCACCUCCCUUACCUGGAAGACUACCUUCUUUGACUUCCCUAAAUUUUUCUCAAGGUAAAAUACUUCUACACACAAAGCUUUAGUCAUG